CGAGCCAAAAAUAAAUGACAUUUCGAGACAGAGACUUUCAACCAUGCUCAUGACACUACCCAAACAUUACAUAGACCUACUACCACUACAGCACUACUACCUCAAUUGCAUUAGGGACGCAACAAUAAACCUUCAGGACAAGCAAUAUCUUGUCUUUUCAUUAUUGGAGACAAAUUGAAACAUCAAAAAACCAAGUAAAAAUGAGAUGACAGGCAAAAUAUAAAUUUUAUAAAAU
rnacentral:lncRNA from 1 species